UAUUAGAGAAUAGGUUGGCAGAAAGAUGGUUUCACAGAGAUCGCCUGAGAAUACACAACCACUACCUGAAACGUCUGAACGCGUGGUGGACGGAGUUGCCGCCGUUGAUAGUGGCAGAAGGGAACUACACAGUCUGCUUCAUAGUGAUUGAUAUAUGAUAACAACUUCAGCAGAUAAUGGUGAUGACUUUGAAUAUAGUUAUUUUGGUUAUUGUAAUGGUAAUUGGUUGAAGAUGACAAUAGUAAUGAAAUUAUAGUGAUUUGAAGUUGAAAGGAAAAAUGAAUCCUCCUAGUGUUGAAUGAGAAUUGGAG
rnacentral:lncRNA from 1 species